GCAGUGCGCUCCGUGUCAGACGCCGCCGGGCCCGAGAGCCUGCGCCCUGUUCCAGGCGUGUUCGUGUCGACCUGACCCUGGCCGUGGCUUCCUCCAACCUCGGCGCAGUUCGACCCGGGCAGCCGUGGCCAGCGCCCCGCGGCAUGAGCCGGUGACCGAGCACGGGGCCGAUCGGGAGGCAGCCGUGGCUGAGGAGUGUGGGGAAGAGGCCGUGUGUGUCAUUAUGUGUGCGUCAGUCAAGUACAACAUCCGGGGUCCGGCCCUCAUCCCGAGAAUGAAGACCAAGCACCGCAUCUACUACAUCACCCUCUUCUCCAUCGUCCUCCUGGGCCUCAUCGCCACGGGCAUGUUUCAGUUCUGGCCGCACUCCAUCGAGUCCUCCAGCGACUGGAGCGUGGAGAAGCGCAGCAUCCGGGACGUGCCGGUGGUCAGGCUGCCGGCCGACAGCCCCAUCCCGGAGCGGGGGGACCUCAGCUGCAGGAUGCACACGUGUUUCGACGUGUACCGCUGUGGCUUCAACCCGAAGAACAAGAUCAAGGUGUACAUCUACUCCCUGAAGAAGUACGUGGACGACUUUGGCGUCCCGGUGAGCGACACCAUCUCCCGGGAGUACAAUGAGCUGCUCACCGCCAUCUCGGACAGUGACUACUACACUGACGACAUCAACCGGGCCUGCCUGUUCGUUCCCUCCAUCGAUGUGCUCAACCAGAGCCCGCUGCGCAUCAAGGAAACGGCGCAGGCAUUGGCCCAGCUCUCCAGGUGGGACCGAGGCACAAAUCACCUGUUGUUCAACAUGCUGCCUGGAGGUCCCCCAGAUUACAACACUGCUCUGGACGUCCCCAGAGACAGGGCUCUGCUGGCCGGUGGCGGCUUUUCCACGUGGACCUACCGGCAGGGCUACGACGUCAGCAUCCCCGUCUACAGUCCGCUGUCGGCUGAGGUGGAUCUUCCCGAGAAGGGACCGGGCCCGCGGCGGUACUUCCUCCUGUCGUCUCAGAUGGCCGUGCACCCUGAGUUCAGAGAGGAGCUGGAGGCCCUGCAGGCCAAGCACGGGGAGUCAGUGUUGGUGCUGCACCAGUGCACCAACCUCUCGGAGGGCGCCCUCUCUGUCCGGAAGCGCUGCCACAAACACCAGGUCUUCCACUACCCCCAGGUGCUGCAGGAAGCCACUUUCUGCGUGGUCCUUCGUGGGGCUCGGCUGGGCCAGGCAGCGCUGAGCGAUGUGUUACAGGCUGGCUGUGUCCCAGUGGUCAUCGCAGACUCCUACAUCCUGCCUUUCUCCGAAGUUCUGGACUGGAAGAGAGCGUCUGUGGUUGUGCCAGAAGAAAAGAUGGCCGACGUGUACAAGAUUCUGCAGAGCAUCCCCCAAAGACAAAUCCAAGAAAUGCAGCGACAGGCCCGGUGGUUCUGGGAAGCAUACUUCCAAUCAAUCAAAGCCAUUGCCCUGGCCACCUUGCAGAUCAUCAACGACCGGAUCUAUCCCUACGCAGCCAUCUCCUAUGAGGAAUGGAAUGACCCUCCUGCUGUGAAAUGGAGCAGCGUGAGCAACCCGCUCUUCCUCCCGCUGAUCCCGCCGCAGUCACAGGGGUUCACGGCCAUCGUCCUCACCUACGACCGAGUGGAGAGCCUCUUCCGGGUCAUCACGGAAGUGUCCAAGGUGCCGAGUCUCUCCAAGCUGCUGGUUGUCUGGAAUAAUCAGAAUAAAAACCCUCCAGAAGAGUCUCUCUGGCCCAAAAUCCGGGUCCCGUUAAAAGUCGUGAGGACCGCUGAGAACAAGCUGAGCAACCGCUUCUUCCCGUACGAUGAGAUCGAGACGGAGGCCGUGCUGGCCAUCGACGAUGACAUCAUCAUGCUGACCUCCGACGAGCUGCAGUUCGGCUACGAGAAUGUGAUCACCAUAGGGCAGAAACCCUGGCUGGCUUCUUCGUUGGUAUCUGAGCCUCACCCAGUUCAUUACAUUCAACAGUUACUGAGUAAUAUUUGAUGAGUGAAUAAUCUCCACCGUGGACAUGCACAGGGAAGAUGUGAAACAGAUCAUGGUGGCCUGCAUGCCCUUCCACUUUGCUGUGAUAAGCAAUCUGGGCACAACCAUGUUGAAAGGUUUGGAGUUUAAAAUGUUAAACAUGUAUCUACCAUUUGAGCCAGCCAUUCUUCCUGUGGGCGUUUACCCUAGAGGAAUAAAAACAUAACGGCUACACAAACACUUAUACGCUGAUAUUUUUAACAGUUCUUGUUUUAAUGGCCAAAAACUGGAGGGAAAACAAUGCCUAUCAACGCGUCCAUGAAUGAACAGUUGUGGUACAUCCAUGCAGCUGUAGAACACAACUCUGCGAUGAAUGAAAAUGAGCUGUUGGUCCAUGCAGGACUGCGGAUGUUUCUCAGACUCACUAUGCUAACUUAAUGAAGCAAGAUGAAAAAGAACACGCUUUGUGAUUCCAUGUACAUAGGACAUUUUAUCCCCUAGUGAUGGAAGGGCCAGUGGUUGCCUGGAGAAGAGGUGCAAAGGGUCGGACUACGAAGGGCAGCCAGGAAGAAUAACAGGGGGGCUCGGAAAGGCUUUAGGGGAAAUGGGUACAUUUAUCCUCUUACUUGAGGUGAUGGCUUUACUGAUGUACACAGAUGUCAAAGUGCAUCAAACUUACACACUUUAAAUAGGGUCGGUUGUAUCGUUUAUCAGCUGUAUUUCAAAAAAACAUAAAAGUAAUAUUUUUGCAGUAGCAUAAAAAUGAAAUACUUGAAAAUUUUAACAAAAUGUUAAAUUACUUUCAGUGGAACCUACACAUUGCUGAGGGAAAUUGAAGUACAACAUCAAACUUGGAAAGACGUGCUAUGCCUAUGGACUUACCGUGGUUAACGUGUGAAUUCUCUCCUGAUCGUUCUGUAGACUCAAAGCAAUCGCAGUUGCAAUCCCAGAAGACUUUUUUGUUGUUGGGACUGACAAGCUAGUUCUAAAUUUGUAAUAGGAAUACAACAGAUCUGAAAAAAAUCCAAAGCAAUUUUGAAAAAGAACAAAGUUACAGAAUUUACACUAUCUAAAGUCUUCCUGUAAAGCUACCCUAAUCAGGAUAUGUGGUAUUUGGGUAAACUUAAGCACAUAGGUCAAGGAUAAAGAAAAAAGGGUCCAUAAGUAGGCCACACCUGGACGAGGGAGCUUUAAAAAGUUAAUAGAAAAUGGAAUUAAAAGGUAAGGCAGGGGGCUGGCGCUGUGGCAUAGCGGGUAAAGCUGCUGCCUGCAAUGUCAGCAUCCUAUAUGCCUGCUGGUUCGAGUCCCAGCUGCUCCACUUCCAAUCCAGCUCUCUGCUGUGGCCUGAGAAAGCAGUGGAAAAUGUCCUAUGUCUUGGGCCCCUGCACCCACGUGGGAGACCCAGAAGAUGCUCCUGGUUUCAGAUCAGCGCAGCUCCAGCCAUUGCAGCCAUCUGGGGAGUGAACCAGCAGAUGGAAGACUUCUCUCUCUCUCUCUGCCUCUGCCUUUCUGUAACUCUGACUUUCAGAUAAAUAAAUAAAUCUUUUUUAAAAAAGAUAAAGCAGGAGCACUGGGGAGUGUCUGCAAUGACUGGGUUCCUGGCUCGGCUGGGGCUGCGAGCCAGGAAUUCAUUCCAGGUCUCCCUUGUGGGUGGCAGAGACCAAAAUACUUAAACCAUGAUCUACGGCCUCCUAGGAUCUGCAUUUGCAGAAGCCUGGAAUUGACAGCACAGCUUGGACCUGAACCCAGGCAUCUGACAAGGGAUGCAAGCAUCCCAAGGAGUGCCUUAGGUGCUUCACUGAACAUUCCCCCUAACCAGGAACUCUCCAAAACUCUUUUGUAGGGUUAGUUAAUUUUCAACCAAGGAGGCAGCCCAGUCAGUUCAAUGUAGACAAAACAAACAGCGUUUUCACUGAACAGUGCUGGAACAAACUGAUAGCCAUAUGUUAAAUAUAUAUAUUAUCUAUUAUCUAUUAUAUGUAUGACCCUACCUCAUAAUGUAUAGAAAAUUUAACUCAAAAUGGAUCCUAGUCCUGAAUGUAAGAACUAAAAGUAUAAAACUUCUUGAAGAAAGCCUUUAUGUCCUUGGGCUAGACAGUAUUUCUUAAUUAGGUCUCAAAUUGUAUGACUUAUAAAAGAAAAAAAAAUAGAUCAGUUGGUCUUCAUCAAAAUUAGCAACACUUGGAAAAAAAGACACUUCUUAGAAAAUGAAAAAACAAGUCAUAGACUGGGAAAAGUAUUCUCAAAGCAUGUAUAUGAUAAAAUCUUAUGUAUCAGCUCUUUGUUACUACAGCAAAAUGCCUGAGAUAAGCUACUUAUGAGUAAUGAGGUUCAAAGCCAAGAUGAAGUGUUCCCAUUGACUUGGCAUCUGAUGAAGGUGGCAGAUUGCAGUGUGGAGCACAUGUGGAGGCAGGGGUCACAUAGUGAGUCAGGAAGCAGAGAGGCUAAGCCCAACUUGGCUUUUAUAACCAAACCUCUACCUAUGCCAUCUUCUGAUCACAUGUCCCUGUGACCUGAGGACCUCCCACUAGGCUCACCUCCUAGACACCAUAUUUCGAGGAAGUUGCCAUGCUCUUAGUACUAUUGAAUUAUGACUUGCGUGUGUUCAGGAGCCAAAUCAUGUUCAAACCCUAGCAUCUGGUAUACAGAAUAUAUAAAGAGAUGUCAUAACUCAGUGAUGAGAAAAUAAGCCAAGAAGAAAUCGUCAAAACGUUUUAGCAGCUACUUCAUGAAGGAAGAUGUAGAACAACAAAAGCAAAAAUAGGCCAGUUAGGAUUGCAUCCAACACAGUCAGUGAAACACCAGAGUGGAAAGACGGCCCACAGAUGGAGAGAAAGUAUUUGCAAAAUCUUACAUCGGGAGAUGAGCUCAUACCCAACUUGUAUCUGAACUACUUGCUGUGGUUUGGAUGUGGUUUGAAUGUGAACCCCAACUAUUGGUGUGUUGGGAACUUGAUCCUGGGUGUGUCAGUGUGGGAAGAGGUGGGGCCUGGUGGGAGGUCUUCAGACCACUGGGGGAGCUGUCACAGGACCCCUGAGCUCUUGGGAGAGUGGUUACAAGAGUGAGCCAAGUCCUGAAUCGUUUUUCGGCUUCCUGUUUCAAGAUGUGGCCUUUUCCUUCCACGUGUACUCUUGCCAUUGUGGUGAUGACCACCGAAGGGUCCUCACCAGAGCAAAGUACCGUCAGUGCCUCACCUUGGUGGCACAAACCUCUUUUCUUUAGGAAGUUACCCCAGUUAUAGCAACAGAAAGGGACUAAUACUCUACACAAUAAAAGAAAAUAGCACAAUUAAAAAUAGGCAAAGGACCUGAGUAGACAUCUCUCAAAAGAAGACAUACAGGUGGCCAACAAAUACAGUGAGGCCAGCAUUAUGGCCCAGUGGGUUAAGCCAUCACUUAUGACAUUGACAUCCUUAUUGGAGUGAUAGCUUGUGUCCCAGCUGCUCUGCUUCUGAUCCAGCUCCCUGCUAAUGCAUCCAGGAAAGCAGCAGAGGAUGGCCCAAGUGUUUGGGUCCCUGCCACCCACAAAGGAGACCCAGAUGGAGUUCCAGGCUCCUGGCUUUGGCCUGGCCCAGCCAGGAAUAAAUUAGCAGGUAGAAGAUCGAUCUCUCUCUCUCUCUCUAUGUCACCUCCCUCCUUCUCUCUCUCUGUCACUCUGCCAUUCAAAUAAAUAAAUAAAUCUUAAAAUGUUCAAUAUCACUCAUUAGAAAAAUGCAAAUUAAAGCCAGAAUGAGCGAUUGCCUCCCACAUGUUAGGAUGGUUGGUAACAAAGAGAUAAAAUAUAAGCAUUGGUGAGGAUGCGGAGAAAAAGGAACCCUUGUACGCUUGGGAAUGUACAAAUUAAUAUAGCCAUCUUGGAAAACAGAAUUCUAAAAGCAGAAUUACCAUAUGGCCCAGCAUUUCUAGGUACAUACCCAAGAGAAUUGAAAUGAGUAUUUUGAAGAGGUGACUGCACUCCUGUGUUUAUUGUAGCAUUAGUCACAAUAGCCAAUAUAUGUAAUCAACCUAAGUGUCCACUGGCAUGACUGGGUGAAGAAAAUGUGCUACAUAUGCAAUGGAAUACUGUUGAGCCUUUAAAAAGAACAAUUCUAGGGCCGGCGCUGUGGCACAGUAGGUUAAUCCUCUAUCUGUGGUGCCAUCAUCCCAUAUGGGCGCUGGUUCUAGUCCCAGCUGCUCCUCUUCCAAUCCUGCUUUCUGCUGUGGCCCGGGAGGGCAGUGGAAGAUGGCCCAAAUCCUUGGGCCCCUGCAUCCACCUGGGAGACUGGGAGGAAGCACCUGGCUCCUGGCUUCAGAUUGGCGCAGCGCCAGCUGUUGUGGCCAUUUGGGGAGUGAACCAACGGAAGGAAGACCUCUCUCUGUCUCUCUCUCUCACUAUCUGUAACUCUACCUGUCAAAUAAAUAAAUAAAAUCUUUAAUAAAUAAGUAAAUAAAAGAACAAUUCUGUCACUUGCAACCCAUACGUGAAUCUUAAGUGAAAUAAACCAGGCACAGAAAGACAAAAACUGCAGGGACUCCAAACCUUUCAGCCCCGUAGAAACAGGUAGUGAAAUGGAGGUUGUCAGAGACUGGGGGCCAGGAUGGGGAAAGGAGAGAGGUUGGCCAGAGAUAAAAAGUUUUAGUUGGACAAGAGGCAUAAGUUCAGGUGAUCUGUGACACAGCAAGAUGACUGUAGGCAAUUAUAAUGUAUGUAAUUAAAUUUAACUGUUCCGACCACAGAAAAGUAAAUAUGACAGGUAAUAGGUAUAUCAGUUAACCUGAUUUGCUCUUCCACAAUGUGUAUUUGGGUCAAAGCAUCACAAAUACACAGUUAACUUUUUUUUUUUAAGAUUUAUUAUUUAUUUGAAACGCAGAGUUACAGAGAGAAGGAGGAAGAGAGAGAAUCUUUUAUCUGCUGCUUCACUCCCCAGAUGGCUUCUAUAGCCAGUGUUGGGCCAGGUCAAAGCCAGGAGCCAGGAGAUUCCUUGGAGUCUCCCAUGUGGGUACAGAGGCCAAGGACUUAGGCCGUCUUCCAUUACUUUCCCAGGCACAAUAGCAGGGAGCUGGAUCAGAAGUGGAGCAACUGGGACUCAAACCCAUGCCCAAAUGGGAUGCCGGCACUGCAGGCCAUGGCUUCAACCCGCUAUGCCACAGAAUCGGCCCCUACAGUUAUUAAUUGUCAGUAAAAAUAAAACUUUUGAAAGCUGAAAAAAGAAAGGAUUGAAUAGAGGGAAAAAGAAUAUACUGAAUAAAAGUCAUUGCAUGAAACAUUUAAAAAAUAUAGAGAUGCAAAAGAACAUGAAAAAAUUCUGGACAUCAUGAUCGCUGGAACAAUCCUAAAAUAAAAGCACCGUGGGCUACCACCAUACACGCUGCAGAACGACUAACUGAAAUGAGCAAGUGUGACCACACUGAGCACUGGUGAAGCCCUGAGCCUCACUGGUGGAAACUUGGACUGGUGCCACCUAUUUGGCAAACAGUUUGGCAAGUGUUCUUAAAGCUAAAUAUACACCUCUCCUAUGAGGCAGCUUCCAAAAGAAAUGAAUGUGUAUGUCUGCACAAAGACUUGCACUCAAGUGUGCAACACCUUACUCAUAAGAUCCCUGAACUAAGAACUGGUAAAUGGGUGACCAGAGUGAACCACUGCCUCAGAGAACCAUUGGCAAUAAAAGAAACUAGGGGCCAGCGCCGUGGCUCAAUAGGCUAAUCCUCCACCUUGCGGCACCAGCACCCCGGGUUCUAGUCCCAGUCGGGGCGCCAGAUUCUGUCCCCGUUGCCCCUCUUCCAGGCCAGCUCUCUGCUGUGGCCCGGGAAGGCAGUGGAGGAUGGCCCAAGUGCUUGGGCCCUGCACCCCAUGGGAGACCAGGAGAAGCACCUGGCUCCUGGCUUCGGAUCAGUGCGGUGCGCCAGCUGCAGCGGCCAUUGGAGAGUGAAUCAACGGCAAAAGGAAGACCUUUCUCUCUGUCUCUCUCUCUCUCUCACUGUCCACUCUGCCUGUUAAAAAAAAAAAAAAAAUAGGAAUACACACGGCAGCCUGUGCAAGUUCCAGAAGUGUUGUGCUAAGGGAACAAAGAUGCGGAAGACUCCUCACUACAGGGUUCCACGAAUGUGAAUUCUAGAGUAGAAGAAGCCACAUUGCCAGGGCCAGGGGGAUGGCACUGACAGCACAACAGCAAGAAGGAGCCUUUCAGGGGAUGGAACCAUUCCAGGCGAUCGCGGUGCAGCUUGUAUGAGAGCUUCAGGCAGUCGUAGACAGAUGGAAUUAAAAGAACAGUUGACUUUGGUGUAGAAAACUUUUGAGAUCUGUGCAGUUUUCCACUAAUACUCACUUUUCGUGAGCUUUUUGAAGACCCCUCAUAUAACUGUCUGCACUUGUCACAGCUCAUGCACUCGCACACCUGAGAUUAAUGAUUGUGAAUUUAAGUAAACUGUAUUCCAACACUGAAAAUGUUGGUGGGAGACAACUCCGAGUGGUGCUUCAGGGGGAUCUGUAGCAUCAGAUGUUCCUGUUAGAAAAAGAAUGGUCUAAAAACAAUGGCCAAAAUGUUCAUUGCAUUUGAGAAAACUAGAAAAUGAAGAGCAAAUUAAAGCAAGUAAAAGGAAGGAAAUACAGAAAGGCAAGUGCUAAAAUCAGUGAAGUUGAAAAACAGACAAAUAGCAUAUCUAAAAGCUGGCUUUUUGUAAAGAUCAACAAACUUGAUAAUUGCUAGGUAUGUGUCUGUGUGUGUGAGGGAGAGAGAGGUUAUCAGGAAUGAAAAGAAAUUCUGGAAGGGUUGUCUUACAGGCAGGUCUUAAAAACGUGGAAGAGAAUAUGAUGAAAAUUUAUAUGAAAUGGAAGAAAAUUGUGAUUUACACAAAUUGUACAAAUAUGAGGGAAACACUCUAUUAAAGAAAUUAUAAUAUUAUAAAAGUCUUCCCACAUAGAAAACUCCAGGCCCAGGUGGUUUUACUGGUGAUUUCUUAAAGAAAAACUGAUAGUUUCAAGUUGGAAAGAAACUUGGAGAUGGUCAGCUUGCUCACACGUGCAUAAGGCCCAUUCAGGCCUCAGCUGGAUGAGGUGGAUAAGUGACGUGCCCGGUGGCACCAAUGGGCAGUGACCCCUGUUAGUGCUGCUUGCACAUGUCAUCCCUCCCAGAUGGACGUCACUGAGUCAGUCAUUCUUGAUGUUUGCCUCUAUGCCAUUCAAACCCAUUUGUUAAAAUUUCUCUUGGUGAAGAAAAGCAACGAGGCUUUUUUCAAAUUCAAGUAAGAAUCUGUAUCAGGAAAAUGGAAUCCUCUUCAGUAUUUUCAGGAGGAUGAAUUUUUUUUUUAAUCUUUUAUUUAAUGAAUAUAAAUUUCCAAAGUACGACUCAUGGGUUACAAUGGCUUCCCCCCCCAUACUGUCCCCAGGAGGAUGAAUUUUAAGAUGGGAAAUUCUAUAAUGCACAAGGAUCAGAGAGUGGAAAAUGAGAAAGGAGAAGGCUUUUUUUUUUUUUUAUGCACAAGGAGAUAGUAAAUAACUCCUGGAACCACCUGCCACCCCUAAGAGGGGAGGAGCAAAGGAAAUCAGGGUGGGUAGGGGGUAGGGGUGCUUAGAACCUAGCAGCUUGCAGGAGGGUCCCCCACUGGUGGGCUUAGGAGGGCUGAAGGGGGAGCCACUGAUUGGCCAUCGCUCUGAGGCUGAUCGCCUGCUGCAGCUGGGGUUAGAUGCCACCCAGGCUGGCAAAGGGAGUAAUACCUCUCCACUUCCUGGUCUCCAGUCUCUUCUUAGGCCCCCUCUUGACAGAGCCCAGCAGGAAGCCACUGGCGGGGUUCAGGCGGGGACACGGAGGGGGAUCCUGGCGCCGGCUGCGAAGCUACUGCUAUCCUUUAUGCACACACAGAUCCUUCACUCUCUCCCCAGAAAGGUCUUCAUGCUCAUAGUAUCAACCUCUAGACAACUGGAACUCCGACUUUAAUUUAGCCCCAAUUCUUCUUGAAUAUUUCUGUAACUUAAAUUCCCAUUCUGGGUAAGAUUGAGUAAACACAUUCCACCCUGUUCGUGCUAACUAUAGCUAGAAGUCCUGGAGAAAGUACUGACUGAUGGAAGAUUCUGGGUGGCUGGUGUUGGGGCACAGUGGGUUAAGCCACUGCUUGGAUGCCUGCCUUCCAUAUCAGAGUGCCUGUUCAGGUCCUGGUUCUGCUUCUGACUCCUGAUUCAGCUUUCUGCUCUCACGCCAGGGAAGGCAGCGGAUGCUGCUCCUGCCACCCACAUGGGAGACCCAGAUGAGGCUCCUGGCUUCAGCCUAGCCCGGCCCUGGCUGUUGCAGCCAUUUGAAGAGUGAGCCAGUGGAUGGAAGAUCACUCCCUUCAUCUCCUCCUCUCUCUCUGCCACUCUGCCUUUCACAUAAAUAAAUAAAUCUUUAGAAAAGAGGAAGGAAAGGAAAGGAAGAAGGAAGGAAAGAACUUAGAAGAUGCUGAUGAUGAUUCCGAAAGGUAGAAAAAGAAGACAGACUGGGGAUCUCGAACUUGAGGGGACCCAGCGAUGAAGUCCCUUUGUGUUAUUUUUCUUUUAGUUCUUCAUUUUCCUUCCCCCCCACCCCUUGUAUAUCCCAGCUUCAGUGCUGGAGAAGACUUUAACCUUAAUAGGCAAGAUUUAGAGAAGAAGAGUGCCGGCGCCGCGGCUCACUAGGCUAAUCCUCCAACUUGCGGUGCUGGCACACCGGGUUCUAGUCCCAGUCGGGGCGCUGGAUUCUGUCCCGGUUGCCCCUCUUCCAGGCCAGCUCUCUGCUGUGGCCCGGGAGUGCAGUGGAGGAUGGCCCAAGUCCUUGGGCCCUGCACCCCAUGGGAGACCAGGAGAAGCACCUGGCUCCUGCCAUCGGAUCAACGCGGUGUGCCGGCCGCGGCGGCCAUUGGAGGGUGAACCAACGGCAAAGGAAGACCUUUCUCUCUGUCUCUCUCACUGUCCACUCUGCCUGUCAAAUAAAUAAAUAAAUACAAUUAAAAAAAAGAGAGAGAGAAGAAGAAAACCCCACUUUCUCCAGCUGGAGGCCUGGGGAGGGACCUUCUUGACUGCAGCUGCUCCACUGCUGGCAGAAGCCAUACCCUGCUAAAGAGAUGCUGACCGCGCGCGCACUGGUCGGCCCAAUCCUGUCAACUGCCCUCGCGAUGCGCUACCAGGAGGCAGGUCAGAGACACGCUCCUCCCACUUCCCAGGCUGCCCAGUGACACCGCAGGCUGGAGCCAUCCCUGCCCUGCCCAAAGUGGACAUCAGCAAGGAGGCUGUGGGUCAGCGUCCCGUCAGCCAUCCCCAGCCUGCACCAAGCACAGGCAACAGAGGCAGCUCCUCUUCCUUCCCACCUGGAGAGUGGAGGGAGGGUGGUGGAAAGCAGAGAGCUGGGAAAGGAUCCCUGGAAUCUGUGGGAGGUCCUGGCCCCCUCCCCCGCCCUCCCAGAGCAGCCCAGGCUUGGAACUGACCCAGAUCAGCAGCAGAAGCCUUGAGCAGUAACGGGUGGGGGCAAUGCGCAAGUCUCAUGUUUGCCUCCAUGCAGACCAGAGUAACACUGUAAAGACUUGGAAAACGAAACUGAUAUUCAGUCCACAGCCAGGCCAUGUGUUCUGGGUCUGAGCUGCUUGCUAAAAUAGGAACCAGCGUCCCCAGCAGUUCUAAAAAUGCUCCAAAAUUGCUCACACUGGGAACCAGGAGAGGUGUAACUUUAAAUGAGAAAAGAUAAUUAACAAGUGCCAACACCAUGAUGACACAGAUGCUGGAGUCUGAAACAGCUAGCACCUAAAGAUGAUCUUAGACGCAAUUAUGUUGAAAUAGUUGAAAAAAUGCAAAGUCUCAGCAAAGAAACAGAGUGGAAACUUCAGAACUAAAAAUUAUUAUAAUACCCAAAAUUGAGAACUCUCUGGGUGGGCUUAGGAGAAGAAUGGAGAUUGUGGGAAAGAAUUGGUGAACUUGAGGAUAAAUUAGUAGGAAUUACUCAAUAUGAACAACAAAAGAAAAUAGAUUGAAAAAAAUGAAAAGAGCCUCAGGAGCCUGGUGAGACCAUCACAAAACAUUUAAUAUUUGUGGUCUUCAAGUUUCAGAAAAAGAAUGCUUGGUGAUAAAGCAUUCAAAGAAACAAGAGCUGAAAAUGUCCAGAAUUUGACAAAAGACAUAAUCUAAUAGACUCGAGAAGCUGAUGAAACCACAGCCAGCCAAGAGUAACUGUAAGAAUAGAUUACAGCAGCACCCAGCAUUUCACAUAGGAACUGGAGGCCGGGGUCGUUGCACAGCAGGUUGCACUGCUGCCCUUGUGACACUGGCAUCCAAUAUGAGCUCCAGCUGCUCCCCUUCUAAUCCUGCUCCCUGCUGAUGGGCCUGGGACAGCAGUGGAGGACGGCUCAAGGGCUUGGGUCCCUGCCACUCACAUGGGAGACCCAGAAGAAGCCCCUGGGUCCUGGCUUCUGUAGCAGCCAUUUGGGGAGUGAACCAGUGGACAGAAUUCUCUGUCCUUGACUGUCUCUCUUUCUCCCUCUGUAACACUGACUUUCAAAUAAAUAAAUCUUUUAAAAACAGUAAUUGGGAGGGAAGAGGAAAAUAAAUUGGUUUGUGUGUGCAAAUAUAUAUAAAGAAGAAAACAGGAGCUGCCACAUUCCCUGCUACCAUGCAGCUUCCCCUCCCACUCCGUCCCUUGUCCCCUCGGUCCUCAGCCAGCUCCCUUGCUUGCCGACUGCCAGCUCUGUUUCUUUAAUGCCUCAGCCUUUCCAUCUCUUCCUGUGUCAGUUUUGUUAAGUUGUGUUUUUCAAGGAAUUGUUCAGUGUUUCCCACUUGUAAGAUGUGUUGGUAGAAAGUCGCUCGUGGUACUCUCUUGUUGUUUAAAGACUGUUGGAAUUGGGAAGAUGUGUGUGGGGAGCAACUGGGAGCAACUCGGACUAGACUAAGUUACUGGAAUUAAGACUUAUUCUAUGCAUCUGCUCUCCCACAAUAUGGCGCUGGGAGAGAAGAAAACAGCUUCUACACAGCUGCCUCCAGUUCAGCUAAUAAACUGUAGGACUUGCUCCUGAUUGGAGGAGAGCAGCAUACUCGGCGUGUGGGCAGCCGAGUUGGGAUUGGCAGAGGAGGACUAUAAAGGAGGAGAGAGACGGCAUGCACCAGGGAACAUCUAAGGGGAACAUCUGAGGGAACACCUGUGCAGCCCCCGAGAGAGCCGGCCGGCGGUGUGCCGCUCCCCUGCGGAAGUGGGGAAUGUGGCAGGGGGAACCACCCUUCCACGGAGGUGGAAGGGACAGUAGCCAACCCGGGAAGAACCAGCAGCAAACCCGGGGAGGGCCGAGCAGACGAAAGAACAGCGCAGGGUCCUGUGUCGUUCCUCCAUGAAGAGGGGGAGCGACAUAAUGGUGCCGUGACUCGGAUAGGAAGCCUAGGCAGGGUUUAGUGUCGUUCCUCCACGAAGAGGGGGAGCGACAUAAUGGUGCCAUGACUCAGAUAGGAAGCCUAGGCAGGGUUUGGUGUCGUUCCUCCAUGAAGAGGGGGAGCAACAGAUGUGUUCUUUCUCAUCCUCAGAUUGGAAAAUCUUUUUUCUCAUUUUCUCGAUCAGUUUUUGUUGCAGUGGAUUUGUUUCUGGGAGGAGGAGCGUGGUGGGGGCAAGAGACGCGGAGUCUCCACACAGACCCUGGGAGUUGGGUGAAAGCAGACCUGAGGCAAGCAACCUGCAGACUCGUUUAUUUCAGUUGCUAUAACAGCUUAUACAGCCCAGGCAGCCAAUCUGGUCAAGGGGCGAUCUAUGCCCCAACAGUCACACCUUGUUGCCAGGCAGUUUCUGAAGCCAUCCAAUCACAGCCUGUUGCCAAGCAGACUCUGCUGUCAUGUGGUUUCCGAAACCAUCCAAUCACAACCUGUUGCCAGGAAGACUCCGCUGUCAUGUGGUUUCUGAAACCAUCCAAUCACAGCCUGUUGCCAGGCAGUUUCUGUUGCCAGCAGCCAUCUUGGCAUGGCCUUCUCAUUCCACCACAAGUUUUAUUAAAGGUUUAUCAAGGACACAGACUCCUCUAAGAAACAGCUUUCCGUAUCCGUGGCUUUCCUCUUGCAUAUUUGUUUUGUACGUAACUAAUACUUCUCUGUCCAUAACUAAUUUCCUCUUUGACUUUAAUGAAUUCAGUUGCUACUUUUUUUCCUGGCCUUUUGACUUGAUAGCCUAGAUCAUUGACUCUAGUACCUAUUUUUCUAACAUGCAUUUUAAGCUAUAAAUUUCACUUUAAUUACUGCUCAUUCCUGAGCUUAAUGUCAUAUUUCUAUUAUCCUUACAUUCAGAGUACUUUCUAAUUUCUGUUGCAAAAUCUUCCUUGAUCCAUAAUUAUAUAAAAGUACAUUACUUACUUUUAUGAAGUUAAUCCAUCUUUUUCUUUUUGAUUUCUGGUUUUAUUCUGCAGUGUUCAGAAUAUACUCUGUAUGAGCUUACUAUUUUGAAAUGCUUGAGUCUCAUGGCCAGUGGAAGGUGUAUUUUGGUAAAGUUCUAUAUAUACCUAAAAAGAGCACACAUUCUACAGUUGUGGAUUUAAUGCUGUUACUAGAUCAGUUAGGUGAGCUUAGUUUCCUUGGUACUUUGAGUUUUUCCUAUUUGAGAAGCAGAGAGAGCGAGGGAGCAAGUGAGCGAGCGCACGAGUGGGCCCUCCACCCGCUGGCUCGUUCACCACAUGCCUGCAAAGGCUGGGGUGAAGCGCAGCCCUCAAACUCAGUCCAAGUCUCCCACGUGGGUGGGGAACCCAACUGCUUGAGCUAUCGUUGCUGCCUCCCAGGGUCUGCAGGAGGAAGCUGGCGUCAGGGCUGGAGCGGAGACAAACUGAGGCAACCCAGCGUGGGGUGCAGGCUGCUUCUCCAUUCGGCUAGAAAUCCACUCCGGCGCUUCCAGGUUUUACAUAAUCCAGACAUUGCCCUGCUUGCUUUUCCUCUGAGAAAAGUAUCUCCAUUUCUUCUUUUAUCCCCCAUGGCCAUCAUCAUUUCUGCAAUGGUUAAAAGCGUUAUCCUAGUUUAAAUUUUAAAAAUGUUUAAACACGUGUUUAUUAUGUGAGAAAUCAAAGGCCAGUGAUGAAAGAAACUUUUUUAUGAUAGCUCCAAAGAAUUUUUAGAGAAAUCAGGAGAGACAGGGGAGUCUCCCCAUUUGGGAAUUUUUCAUCAAAGGGAAGCCAGCAGUCUGGCAUCUAGCAUGGUUUUACUAGUCCUGCCUGGAGACAGAAUGGACCAGAUAACUUCCUGAAACCCCUGCUGGUGUCACGACUCCCAGGGCAAGCCUGUAAGGUGUGAGUCCAUGGGCAGAAAUCCCAUGGAAACUUCUGUGCACAAAAAGCAUCAGGUGCCUUCACUCUCCCUUGAAACACGUAACGAUUGUGAGUGUGAGCAUCUGGCGAAAUUCAGAUUGAGAGUGGGGGCCUCCCAGGUGUUUGGAGACUGUGAGUGUGGGCGUCCUGGGUAUGUAGAGUCCGUGCCAGCUGCAUAUUAGAAGUUGACGGGAGACUACAGAACUUAUGUAAGUGGAGAAAACCAGUGGGGAAUACGGUGAACCAGGGCCAGUGCUGUUCAUGAUUCUGGUGGUGUAGACUCAUGCCUCAGCGUUUGCUAUGUGACUUCCACACAGGGGGGGCCACUCCAAGGCCAUGUUGUGGGAAAGGGUUGGAAGAACAGAUUCGCAGACUGAUUUAAUGACGUCAGAUGACAGUGUGUGUAAGAGGCCAGGAGCAGAGUGACGGCCAGCUCACGCACCGCACACUUCCUCGGCUCUGGAAGAGGAGUCUGGGCCUAACGUGAGAGCCACACCAUGUCAGGGCAGUGAUGCUGAGGCAUUGCUUGGAAGUGGACAGUGAGCUGGAGGAUCCCUGCCCAGGUGGAAGUCCCCAGAGCCCCCACAGGCCUUAUCCAGUGUUUGUGGAAGCAUGGCACACUUAGGUGAUGCUGGUACCGGACACCGGGGCUCACAGGCAGGGCUGUCGUCUCUCCCUGCGGCCCACCCUCCGCCCACCACUGGGUGGCUGAGACAAUCAGAUCCCUGCAUGCCCUUGACCCUCUCACAGGGCAGGACUGGAACAGGGCGGGCCUUAGAGAUGGUCCUGACACCCCACGUUCUAUUGCUGAAGAAUUGGCAGAGUCAGUGUCCAAUGACUAUAACCCCGAAGCGCCCACCAUAGCAAGUAUGAAUGCGAGGCCAAAGGGCUUUUCUCCUCCUGGGCCUGUGACUUGAGCACGUGGCCAUUUGGCCCCACUACUGUGCAUCAUUAUUUAUUUAAUUGGAAGAAAACACAGGGGUCACAUUCCCUGGGGACGGCCGCACCCUCUCCGCAGCCUUGAAUCGGGAGCUCGGAGCGCUCCUCUCCGGCCCUGCACGUUUUUGACUUGCCUGACAAGUGCUAGAGCUACCAGAUGUGGCCGUUCUUUUCGGCAUGGGAUAAUUUAUUUAUCUGUUUAUGUUUUCACUGGGGAAGUAUCUAUUGAGUUCUUGAUUCUCAUUUGCAAGGGGCUCCUGGGGGAACGGUAGCAGUGUAUAAUGUUACUGCAAUGUUUGAUUUUUUUUUUCCCCCAAGUUUGUCUGCUUUAUUUAGGACCUAAAGAAUUGGGAAAUAAAAAGGCCACCUUUUCCCCUCCUCUCCACCACCCUCGAGAGAGGCAGUUUAAAACAUAUGGCAGAAAAUGAGCCGUGGAGACUUGGCUGGAUAUAUGGACCCGUGGAUUUAUUUUUCCUUUCAUACUUUGAUCCACAUUUCCAACCAUAAAAAUUAUUAGUAGCACUUAAGUGUUGAACACUUUCCACCCGAGAGAUGUGAAACGCUCUUGGCCAACAGUACCUGUGAUAACGUUGAUCGUUCGUGUGGGAGUGGGAAUUCGCCCAGAGCAGCUGUGUGCUGUUAGGCACGCAGAGUGCUGGAGCCUUCUUGUACUGCCUGGGUACCCGUAGUGGGAGUGGCUGGGCAGACCUCCUGAGUGCUAAUAAAUGGUGAGAAUUUAUUUGUAUUAUUUUCUUAACUCCCCAAGGUAAUGGCAGGUGUAUAAUCACAAGGAACCAUGAGAAGGCAGCCGAAUAGCAUGAGAUGCCCCCUUUUUUUUAUUUCAUAAGGACCACAGGACAGUAUGGGAGUAGGCCUUCUGAUGUUGGAGGUGCCGAGAAGCAGGGCAGCCAAUGAGAGUGAGCUUCGUGUCUGCAGUAGCAGGGGAACUCGAACGAGGGCUUUGCUUCAGUUAACAGUGGAAAUGUGGUUGGUUAGGCAAGAGGGUGAGCUGGCUCCCAGGCUCAGAGGCCGCCUGCAAGUUUCAACUGAUGGGCAGUAAAGAUGCCCUGCAGGGGCCGGCGCUGUGGUGUAGCGGGUAAGGCUGCCGCCUGCAGUGCCUGCAUCCUGUAUCAGUGCCGGUUCGAGUCCCGGCUGCUCCACUUCCGAUCCAGCUUCCUGCAAAUGCACUUGGGAAAGCGGCGGAGGAUGACCCAAGUGCUUGGGCUCCUGCACCCACGUGGGAGACCCAGAAGAAGUUCUUGGUUCCUGGCUUCAGCCUGGCCCAACCCUGGCUAUUGUGGCCAUUUGGGGAGUGAACCAGCACAUGGAAGAUUGAUAUCUCUCUCUGAGUCUCUCUGUCUCUCUCUCUGUAACUCUGCCUUUCAAGUAAAUAAUAUAAAUCUUCGGAAGGGAGGAAGGGAGGGAGGAAGAUAGAUAGAUGCCAUGCAGGUUUGUAGCAAGAUGACUGGUAGAAGCUGUCAGAUCCCAAGAUGAAUUAGAGGUAACAGUGGAAAAGAGGGAAAACCCGUUAGACAGUAGUAGCAGAAAAUCCACAGACUCAGCAUUUGAGUAGAUCAAAAAAGCCAGGAGAAGGGAAGACAAGUUCCCACUGUGGCUGAGAUUUCACAUGUGACGAGGGACUCAGCUAACUGGAGAAGUCCAGAGCUGAGUCACGCUCUAACCAGACACCCGUGACAUCGAUAGCUGUCUACCUGAGCCGCCAGAGAGACCGGGAGAGAGGCUGUAAGCUGUGGCUCUGGCUAAGCUGGAGUGCUUUUUCUCUUCUCGCUAGAAUGGCUGAGAGAGGGAAACGACCUCCAACAGAAUCCGCCUUAAACACUAGCAGAGAACUGGAAAGACAGAGUGACUUCUGUCCUCUCUUCGUCCGUCCCAAGCCUCCUGCCAAUACAGGAAUCCCAGAUGCUGCAUCAGAGGGAAAAAUACAAAUGCAAGACAAGCCGUGACUUGUGUGUCCCAGGCUGUGGUGAUGGCUAGGACCCCUCAGAUGGGAGACUGCCCGCUCCCUUCCUUAGGUGUAAGCCCCCGAGACCUGAGUCUGAAAGUGCGCCCCGGUGUGUUGGGAAUGCUGGAGGCCUGUACAGAAAGGUUUUCCCGGCUCGUCCUGCCCUGGGCUCUGGAGCAAGCUUGCUGCUUGCGCUCAUCCAGGGUCCCAAGGAAAUCAACGCUUACCCAGCCAAGGCUGAUAAAAAGGGAGCCCCUCAAUGAGGAGGUCAAGUUCAGGCCCACGGCUGCGCUGGCUGGAUAGUCCAAGCACUGGAGGUGAUGAAGCGCCAGCUUGCAUUUCCAGUGCUUGACCGCUCGGCUCACUCAGGGCCUGGAGCCUUCGCAGGGUCUGAGCCGAGAGUGACUGGGAAGAUGGGGAACUCCAGUGUUGCCGUCUCUCAUCUGGCGUGGGCCGUAGCAGGGGGUCCGGAGCCCGUCCGCGUGGCUGCCGGUGUGCCGCAGGGGCUGGGGCUCUCAGAGGGCCAGCCCGCUUUGUGUCUGCCCUUCGCCCAGGCCGAGCUGCACCGGCUUCUGCACAAAGCGUUCCCAUGUAGCCAGAUCCAUUUGCCGUGCUGACCUGUGUGAAAGCCCUCUUUCUUGGGCGCUCACCAAAGAAGUUGAGUGCUGCAAGCUCCCUUUCAGCCUUGGGAGUGAGUGAGUGGCAGCUCCCCGGGUACUGUUCCUGACCCUGGCCAUGAUAGUAGCAGUAUGGUUUUGAAAAGGACAUCUGUCUGUCCGUCUGUCUGUCAAGUGUCUCAAGAGUUACUGUUACGGAGACCAUUGUCUUCAGAAGGGAGAAUGGGCCGAGCAGCUCAUUCCUGCGCGUCCCCUGCAGCCCCCCACCCCCAGUAAGGGACAGUCAGAGCUCCCCAGAGGAGACACGGGAGGACCACGGUCAGAGACGAGCUAUGCCCCGGAGUGUCUUCUACAGCGUUUGCGGCUCCCUGUUCUCAGCCUGCAGAGCUGGGUAAUCUGUCCGGCCAGUCCCAUCUCCACCUUGCAUUGAUUUACACCCCCAAGACUCAUGGGACCCGGAGGGGGAGUAGCUCACGUGUGCGCCGCUGCCAUCGCCAAGCGCCGCUGAAAGAAGAUCCCAGCCGCGGGCCAGAAGCCGCGGAGGUGCUGAGAGACGCUGCAGGGAAGUCUGACCUCUCAGAGCACUUCUGAAGCACCCAGUCCCCACUGGAGGACAAGCCAAGCAAAUAUUAAGGGAAGGAAAUCGAAUAUGUGCGCUGAACGUUGCACGAACAUCUGACCGCUUUGCAAAGCACCCAGUUGGGAAUUGGAAUGGAGUACCACUUUUUUCUUCCCCGCCGAGCAAGUUAAAACAGCACGUUCAGAAUUUGUUUACACAGCCAUUAACGAAACACCAAAGGCAGGCCCAAGGAGGACAGCGUUUUGUGCACCCUGCUGGCGCCUCUCCCCACCCCAGCAUCCUGCCCCCUUCUCCGCCCCCGCCACGCACACUUCCCGUCCCACGUGAGGCAGGUUGGCUUGGGUAGGCAUCCGCGUGUAUUCCGUAGGAGCCUACUGUGUGUGCCACUGUGCUGGUGAGGAAAGAGUCAUCUGAGCCCUCCCAGAGCAGGCCCCCGGGCCCCUACCCUAGUCUCCCCUUGCCUUGCUUCGGCUCCUGCCCGUCUGUGCACCGGCACGCUGUCCUGGCUUUGUAUCUCGGUGCCUCAGGAUCAGCGCGCACGACGUGGGGUGGUUGUUUUCCAAAAGGUGUCGGAGCGUUCGACGGGGUAGAGGACGUGCGCCCUCCCUCCCUGCUGCUGACAGGCGGUAUUUGCAGUGCUCCUCCACCUCUGAAAGGAUCCAUAUGUCCCGGGCUUAUUGUGCCAGAAACUGCCUGCUGUCUCCCUGGGACUGGCUGCGGAGAACUCUGGCUGCUUCAGGCAUUCAGGCUUUCAGAAUUUGGCUUGUGCUUUGGAGAGCUGAGCUGUUUUGUUGUGCUGGGCUGUUUCUCUGCCUUGACUGUGACAGAGAUGCCUACGGGAGGUGUGUGGCUGGGCCGGGCAGGGCUCAGGACCAGGGCCUGGGGGCCACAGCAGCGUCCAGGCCCUGUCCCCGCCAGCUCUGUCAGGAGGCGGCGGUGCCUGUAGUUCCAAAGGAAGCCUCAGUGUCGCGCCCCCGAGUGUGAAGCCGUGCCAUUGUGAAAUCGCACAACCCUUGCAAAAUCGUAAUUUUGAAGCAACAGCGGGGAUCGCUGUCGCAUCAGAUGCAUUGAUUUCCCCUUUGAGGACACAGAGAAAGGACACUUAAAGGGCGAGAGUCGGCUCUGACCUCAGCCGUGUCACAGCUGGGAAGUGCGCCUCUGGAAAGAGAGAUGAGCUAGUCAGCGUGAUAUUUACAACUUGCCUCUCAGAUCAUCUUUAUUUCUUGGGGCUUGAAAACUGGUGCCGAGGGUUCCCAUUAAUCAUGCUUGCAGUCUAUUUGCUACUGUCCGUUGGCUGGUUUAGAUCAAGAGUUGGCAGCCUUUAAAAGUAAUAUUUCUAGGUUUCCAGCCAGCCUUCAGGUUGGGCUGAAGAUGGGAGGGGUUGGGCAGGGGUCAGAGUCACAUGCUGAUACGCUGCUCCUGGAGAGGAGAGGAAGAGGCUACCCGGGCCGCUGACCACAGCCACAGCCACCCGCAGCAGAGGCUGGAACACUCCGCUUAGCACGGUCCGUUCCAGCAGGGGUCACGUCGGCCUCGUUCACGUCCAUGUGCCCGAGUGCUUGGCACCCAGCAGAUGCCCCACACCUCCUGCUGACUAGGCGAGCCGCAUGUGUGGGCACUGAGUUGGUUUACAAAUACCCUUCCUGUGAGUAGGAUUAUACGGAAUUGUUCUAUGUAAAAUGGUUCCACAAUCUGUAUUCGGUGGAAGGACCCUGGACUUCUAUUUGCUGGCCUGCUAGGCAUUUAGCAAAGAGUAGUUUUAUAUUAAUUGCUGACCUGGUUAGAGACAAUGGGGUCUCAUUGCUAACGUCGUAAUUUAAGUUUCUUUUUCCUUUUCUUCCUUUAAAACAAAAUGCUUGAAGCUUUGUUUCUCAUUCUCUGCUUCCCCACCCCCAACCCAGAGGUAAGCUUUCCAUCCUUUUCACUCCUUUCAUACUUUUGCCUGUGUCCUAGCUUUCUGCUCAGUUUUUGAAGCAUGUGCCACCUGCUUCUCUGAAUUACAAGUGCCUUGGGACGUGUUGUCAGCUUUGUCUCCGCACUCACUCCCUGAAGUAUGAGACAUUCUCUUAAACUUGAAGAAACAAAAGAUGCGAACACGAUUCCAUAGAGGGAGGAUAGACUUCAGAAAAAAAAAAAAUGGUGCUGAGAAAUUAGACAUCCAUAGACAAAAAUUUAACCUUGAACUAAACUUCAUACCCUAUACAAAAAUUCACUGAAAGUGAAUCAUAGACUUAAUGUAAAUUGUAAAACCACACAACUUUUAGGAAAAAAGGACCCGGGAGUAGGCAUUGUUCCUAAACUUGACACUAAAAGCAUGAUCCAUGAAAGGAGAAAUUUCUAAACUUAACCUUAUCGAGAUUAAAAACUUUUUGCUUCUCAAGAGAUUUUAGAAUGAAAAGGCAAGCUACAGACUGGAAGGAAAUAUUUACAAAUCAAACAUCCAACACAGGACCAGACAUCUAGGCUAUAUUAGGAAUCUUCAGAAAGUUUAUGGAAAAUGUGUAUUAUGAGAAACUAGCUAUGACCUUCAAAUUUUUUGAACCAAAAUAAGUUUAUCUUUUAAUUCCAUUUCCUUGAACUUUUUUGAAGUGCCCUUAUGUAAAGAACUUUGAAAACUCAGCAGUAAAGAGCAUAUAACCCAAUUAGAAAUGGGCAAAGAAUACACACAGCCUUUUCACUGAAGAGGCUUUAUGGAUGGCAAACAAGCACACGAAACAGGCAGGCCUUGGGGCACAGCCGUCGACCUGCCACUUGGGGCGCCUGCAUCCCAUCUCAGAGCGCCCUGGUUCAAGUCCAGUCCAGCUUCCUACUCAGGGGCACCUUGAGAGGCAGCAGACAAGUACCUGGGUCCCUGCCACCCACACGGGUGACCUGGAUGGAGCUUUGGGCUCCUGGCUUCAGCCCAGCCCGAUACUGGCUGUUGUAGAUCUCAGUGUCUCACUCUCCUUCUCCCUCUCUGUGUGUCUCUCUGCCUUUCAAAUAAAUGAAAAACAGAAUUUUUUUUAAAAAGUUGAUCAGCAUCAUUAACCACUAGGAAAAUACAAAGUAAAACCACAGUAAAUUAUCACCACAUACCCAUCACGAUGGCUAAAAUAAAAAAGAAUGGCAGGCCGGCACCGCGGCUCAAUAGGCUAAUCCUCCGCCUGCGGUGCCGGCUCCCUGGGUUCUAGUCCCGGUCGGGGCGCUGGAUUCCGUCCCGGUUGCCCCUCUUCCAGGCCAGCUCUCUGCUGUGGCCCGGGAGUGCAGUGGAGGAUGGCCCAAGUGCUUGGGCCCUGCACCCCAUGGGAGACCAGGAGAAGCACCUGGCUUCUGGCUUUGGAUCAGCAUGAUGCACUGGCUAUAGCGGCCAUUGGGGGGUGAACCAACGGCAAAGGAAGACCUUUCUCUCUCUCUUUUACUAUCCACUCUGCCUGUCAAAAAAAAAAAAAAAAAAAAAAAAAAGAACGGCAGCAGCAAGUGCUGGUGGGGAUGCAAAGAAA